rnacentral:lncRNA from 1 species
CUUCAUCAUGACCUGCUCCCCUCUCCUCCUCACCCUUCUCAUUCACUGCACAGGGUCCUGGGCCCAGUCUGUGUUGACGCAGCCGCCCUCAGUGUCUGCGGCCCCAGGACAGAAGGUCACCAUCUCCUGCUCUGGAAGCAGCUCCAACAUUGGGAAUAAUUAUGUAUCCUGGUACCAGCAGCUCCCAGGAACAGCCCCCAAACUCCUCAUUUAUGACAAUAAUAAGCGACCCUCAGGGAUUCCUGACCGAUUCUCUGGCUCCAAGUCUGGCACGUCAGCCACCCUGGGCAUCACCGGACUCCAGACUGGGGACGAGGCCGAUUAUUACUGCGGAACAUGGGAUAGCAGCCUGAUGUGUGGUAUUCGGCGGAGGGACCAAGCUGACCGUCCUAGGUCAGCCCAAGGCUGCCCCCUCGGUCACUCUGUUCCCGCCCUCCUCUGAGGAGCUUCAAGCCAACAAGGCCACACUGGUGUGUCUCAUAAGUGACUUCUACCCGGGAGCCGUGACAGUGGCCUGGAAGGCAGAUAGCAGCCCCGUCAAGGCGGGAGUGGAGACCACCACACCCUCCAAACAAAGCAACAACAAGUACGCGGCCAGCAGCUAUCUGAGCCUGACGCCUGAGCAGUGGAAGUCCCACAGAAGCUACAGCUGCCAGGUCACGCAUGAAGGGAGCACCGUGGAGAAGACAGUGGCCCCUACAGAAUGUUCAUAGGUUCUCAACCCUCACCCCCCACCACGGGAGACUAGAGCUGCAGGAUCCCAGGGGAGGGGUCUCUCCUCCCACCCCAAGGCAUCAAGCCCUUCUCCCUGCACUCAAUAAACCCUCAAUAAAUAUUCUCAUUGUCAAU